rnacentral:rRNA from 1 species
AUUGAACGCUGCGGCAUGCUUAACACAUGCAAGUCGAGCGAGCGGCGGACGGGUGCGUAAUGCUUAGGAAUCUGCAUAUUAGUGGGGGACAACAUCCCGCAAGGGAUGCUAAUACCGCAUCCUCAUCGAUGAGCCUAAGUCGAAUUAGCUAGUGGGUGGGGUAAAGGCCUACCAAGGCGACGAUCGGUAGCGGGUCUGAGAGGAUGAUCCGCCACACGGGGACUGAGAAACGGCCCAGACUCCUAGGGGAGGAAGCAGUGGGGAAUCUUUGACAAGGGAGGGAACCCUGAUCCAGCGAUGCCGCGGGUGUGAUGAAGGCCUUAUGGUUGUAAAGCGCUGUAAACGGGGAGGCGUUACCCGAAGAAUAAGCACCGGCUAACUAUGUGCCAGCCGCCGCGGUAAUAC